AUGAGAAGGAGCAGACGGCGAAGGAGACGCCAGACGAGGAGUGGGCGCCAAUGCCGGUUGCCGGGUUCACCAUGGUGCAGGUGUAGGCGCAACUCAGCCGCGUCAUGGUGGAGGUGGAGCACGAGUAGUAGGCGGUGCCGCCAGUGUCCACAUUCUAGAACCUGCAAGAGGAGGAGCUAUUCAACCUGGGACCUUCUCAUGCAUCACCGACUAGUGGAGGAGCAGAUCACCGACGAGCAGGCUAACGAGCAAGCCACUGUGACCAUGGUUGUGGAGGACCCCAAAUUCGUCCACAACUCAGUGGACAUUGUACGAGUUGGUGCGCAGCACCCGCAACAUCCAGCACGAGCGAAUGUAGCUCCGUGUUAA
rnacentral:rRNA from 1 species